UACUGCAGUCGAGCGAAUGGAUUAAGAGCUUGCUCUUAUGAAGUUAGCGGCGGACGGGUGAGUAACACGUGGGUAACCUGCCCAUAAGACUGGGAUAACUCCGGGAAACCGGGGCUAAUACCGGAUAACAUUUUGAACCGCAUGGUUCGAAAUUGAAAGGCGGCUUCGGCUGUCACUUAUGGAUGGACCCGCGUCGCAUUAGCUAGUUGGUGAGGUAACGGCUCACCAAGGCAACGAUGCGUAGCCGACCUGAGAGGGUGAUCGGCCACACUGGGACUGAGACACGGCCCAGACUCCUACGGGAGGCAGCAGUAGGGAAUCUUCCGCAAUGGACGAAAGUCUGACGGAGCAACGCCGCGUGAGUGAUGAAGGCUUUCGGGUCGUAAAACUCUGUUGUUAGGGAAGAACAAGUGCUAGUUGAAUAAGCUGGCACCUUGACGGUACCUAACCAGAAAGCCACGGCUAACUACGUGCCAGCAGCCGCGGUAAUACGUAGGUGGCAAGCGUUAUCCGGAAUUAUUGGGCGUAAAGCGCGCGCAGGUGGUUUCUUAAGUCUGAUGUGAAAGCCCACGGCUCAACCGUGGAGGGUCAUUGGAAACUGGGAGACUUGAGUGCAGAAGAGGAAAGUGGAAUUCCAUGUGUAGCGGUGAAAUGCGUAGAGAUAUGGAGGAACACCAGUGGCGAAGGCGACUUUCUGGUCUGUAACUGACACUGAGGCGCGAAAGCGUGGGAGCAAACAGGAUUAGAUACCCUGGUAGUCCACGCCGUAAACGAUGAGUGCUAAGUGUUAGAGGGUUUCCGCCCUUUAGUGCUGAAGUUAACGCAUUAAGCACUCCGCCUGGGGAGUACGGCCGCAAGGCUGAAACUCAAAGGAAUUGACGGGGGCCCGCACAAGCGGUGGAGCAUGUGGAUUUAAUUCGAAGCACGCGAAGAACCUUACCAGGUCUUGACAUCCUYUGACAACCCUAGAGAUAGGGCUUYUCCUUCGGGAGCAGAGUGACAGGUGGUGCAUGGUUGUCGUCAGCUCGUGUCGUGAGAUGUUGGGUUAAGUCCCGCAACGAGCGCAACCCUUGAUCUUAGUUGCCAUCAUUUAGUUGGGCACUUUAAGGUGACUGCCGGUGACAAACCGGAGGAAGGUGGGGAUGACGUCAAAUCAUCAUGCCCCUUAUGACCUGGGCUACACACGUGCUACAAUGGACGGUACAAAGAGCUGCAAGACCGCGAGGUGGAGCUAAUCUCAUAAAACCGUUCUCAGUUCGGAUUGUAGGCUGCAACUCGCCUACAUGAAGCUGGAAUCGCUAGUAAUCGCGGAUCAGCAUGCCGCGGUGAAUACGUUCCCGGGCCUUGUACACCCCGCCCGUCACACCACGAGAGUUUGUAACCCCCGAAGUCGGUGGGGUAACCUUUUGGAGCCAGCCGC
rnacentral:rRNA from 2 species